GAUGAACGCUAGCUACAGGCUUAACACAUGCAAGUCGAGGGGUAACGAGAGGAAAGCUUGCUUUCCUUGUCGACGACCGGCGCACGGGUGAGUAACGCGUAUCCAACCUGCCCCCAACUAAGGAAUAACCUUGCGAAAGUAAGACUAAUACCUUAUAAUUUCCUCAGAUGUCAUCUGACGAGGAAUAAAGAUUCAUCGGUUGUGGAUGGGGAUGCGUCUGACUAGCUUGUUGGCGGGGUAACGGCCCACCAAGGCAACGAUCAGUAGGGGUUCUGAGAGGAAGGUCCCCCACAUUGGAACUGAGACACGGUCCAAACUCCUACGGGAGGCAGCAGUGAGGAAUAUUGGUCAAUGGUCGAAAGCCUGAACCAGCCAAGUAGCGUGCAGGAUGACGGCCCUAUGGGUUGUAAACUGCUUUUAUACAGGAAUAAAGUUAGCCACGUGUGGUUAUUUGUAGGUACUGUAUGAAUAAGGACCGGCUAAUUCCGUGCCAGCCGCCGCCGAA
rnacentral:rRNA from 1 species